ACAACGGAGAGUUUGAUCCUGGCUCAGGAUGAACGCUGGCGGCGUGCUUAACACAUGCAAGUCGAACGAACCUUCGGGUUAGUGGCGGACGGGUGAGUAACGCGUGGGAAUCUGCCCUCAGGAGGGGGAUAACGGUUGGAAACGGCCGCUAAUACCCCAUAUGCCGAGAGGUGAAAUGAAUUUCGCCUGAGGAUGAGCCCGCGUCUGAUUAGCUAGUUGGUGAGGUAAGAGCUCACCAAGGCAUCGAUCAGUAGCUGGUCUGAGAGGAUGAUCAGCCACACUGGGACUGAGACACGGCCCAGACUCCUACGGGAGGCAGCAGUGGGGAAUUUUCCGCAAUGGGCGAAAGCCUGACGGAGCAACGCCGCGUGAGGGAUGAAGGCCUCUGGGCUGUAAACCUCUUUUAUCAAGGAAGAAGAUCUGACGGUACUUGAUGAAUAAGCCACGGCUAAUUCCGUGCCAGCAGCCGCGGUAAUACGGGAGUGGCAAGCGUUAUCCGGAAUUAUUGGGCGUAAAGCGUCCGCAGGCGGCCCUACAAGUCUGCUGUUAAAAAGUGGAGCUUAACUCCAUCAUGGCAGUGGAAACUGUUGGGCUUGAGUGUGGUAGGGGCAGAGGGAAUUCCCGGUGUAGCGGUGAAAUGCGUAGAUAUCGGGAAGAACACCAGUGGCGAAGGCGCUCUGCUGGGCCAUCACUGACGCUCAUGGACGAAAGCCAGGGGAGCGAAAGGGAUUAGAUACCCCUGUAGUCCUGGCCGUAAACGAUGAACACUAGGUGUCGGGGGAAUCGACCCCUCCGGUGUCGUAGCCAACGCGUUAAGUGUUCCGCCUGGGGAGUACGCACGCAAGUGUGAAACUCAAAGGAAUUGACGGGGGCCCGCACAAGCGGUGGAGUAUGUGGUUUAAUUCGAUGCAACGCGAAGAACCUUACCAGGGUUUGACAUCCUGCGAAUCUCUUGGAAACUUGAGAGUGCCUUCGGGAGCGCAGUGACAGGUGGUGCAUGGCUGUCGUCAGCUCGUGUCGUGAGAUGUUGGGUUAAGUCCCGCAACGAGCGCAACCCACGUCUUUAGUUGCCAGCAUUUAGUUGGGCACUCUAGAGAGACCGCCGGUGAUAAACCGGAGGAAGGUGUGGAUGACGUCAAGUCAUCAUGCCCCUUACAUCCUGGGCUACACACGUACUACAAUGCUACGGACAAAGGGCAGCAAGUUCGCGAGGACAAGCAAAUCCCAUAAACCGUGGCUCAGUUCAGAUCGUAGGCUGCAACUCGCCUACGUGAAGGAGGAAUCGCUAGUAAUCGCAGGUCAGCAUACUGCGGUGAAUACGUUCCCGGGCCUUGUACACACCGCCCGUCACACCAUGGAAGUUGGCCACGCCCGAAGCCGUUACUCCAACCCUUGUGGAGGAGGACGUCGAAGGUGGGGCUGAUGACUGGGGUGAAGUCGUAACAAGGUAGCCGUACCGGAAGGUGCGGCUGGAUCACCUCCUAA
rnacentral:rRNA from 1 species